GGGUAGGUAGCUCAGUCGGUACGAGCGUCCGCCUGAAAAGCGGAAGGUCGGCGGUUCGACCCCGCCCCUGCCCA
rnacentral:tRNA from 2 species